AUUGAAAUCAUUUUAAAUGCCCCUCUCCCAUUUAAUUUUACAGUCAGUUUGUAAUCUGUAGCCAGUAAAGAUAUUGUAUGUUAUAUUCAGGGAAAAUGUAAAAACAAAAAAAAUAAUAUUGAUUUUAUUUUAAUACAGUAUCUUAAUUCAUUGUAAACAAGUUUGUGAAAGGAUGGAUAACGCGUUUUACUCUGUGUUCCAGAUUCAUUGAUGCUAACUGAGCUAUAAUGAUGUUCACCCUGUUAUCUCGUUAUGCCUAUGGAGAUUAACCCUUUCAGGGCUUGUAAAGCCUGACAUCUAUUGCAGGGCAAUGGGUUGCAGACUUUACAGCUAUGAAGACAUAAGAAUAUUGUAGAAAUUAUAUGAGAAUUUCUAAUUUACUGCCAAUUGGUUAGUUUAAUGGUCAUUUUCAAUAUACAUGACCUUUGCUUAAGCCAAAUAUGUACCAGUGCAAUUAUUUAUUUUACAUGCAGUUCUGCAUUUCAGGCCACUAAAAUGUGCUAUUUUAUAUGGCAGAAAUAGGUGGCAUAUUUUAUAAUAUUUUUGUUUAUUUAAGGCAACAAGCCUCGAAUGUUAUUUUUUCUUUCCUACGGAAUAUGUUCUUAUGCCAUCCACCCUUCUUGCCUUUGUUAAUGUGGACGCACAGUGCUUUCACUAUGCAUUUCAGGUUUAUUGUGAAUCUGCACAUAGUUCAAGUGGUUCACACAUACCCACAACUAUUUUGUGGAUAGAGAAGUUUUUGUUUUUGCCAGUAAGGGUACAAUACCUCAAUAAACUAAAAUCAUAGAAUCAGACAUUUCAUUGAUGACACCGGCCUGGAGAUUGUAUAUAUUAAAAGAUGUAAAGUAUUACAAGAACCAUAUCAUUUGUAAAUGAUAACGCAAAGGUGUGUGUUUGUAUGUCUGCUUCUGGGCCAAGGCAAGUAUUUAUUUGUAAGUAUGAUGUAAAACUCUACCCAAAUAAAGUGUUGAGCUAUUUUAAAUACUUUUUUGUUUUGAGAUCUUGUAUUUUGUUAACCUCUAUAACUAUGAAUAUAUUAUUGAAAGAAA